CCUACGGGUGGCAGCAGUGGGGGAUAUUGCACAAUGGGGGAAACCCUGAUGCAGCGAUGCCGCGUGAAUGAAGACGGCCUUCGGGUUGGAAAGUUCUGUUGAUGGGGAAGAAAAUGACGGUACCCAGCAAGUAACGUCCGGGUAACAUCGGGCCAGAUGCCGCGGUAACACGUAGGGAGCAAGCGUGGGCCGGAAUGACGGGGUGAAAGGGGGGCGUAGGGGGGGGGAGAGGUGGAUUGUAAAGUCUAUGGGCUCCACCCAUAGCUGCGUUCGAAACUGUGCUUCUUGAGUGCAGUAGAGGCAGGCGGAAUUCCUAGUGUAGCGGUGAAAUGCGUAGAUCUUAGGAGGAACACCAGUGGCGAAGGCGGCCUGCUGGGCUGUAACUGACGCUGAGGCUCGAAAGCGUGGGUAGCAAACAGGAUUAGAUACCCGAGUAGUC
rnacentral:rRNA from 1 species